rnacentral:rRNA from 1 species
UACCAGACUCCUACGGGGGGCAGCAGUGGGGGAUAUUGCACAAUGGGGGGAACCCUGAUGCAGCGACGCCGCGUGGGUGAAGGAGCGUUUCGGCGCGUAAAGCCCUAUCGGCAGGGAAGAAGAUGACGGUACCUGACCAAGAAGCCCCGGCUAACUACGUGCCAGCAGCCGCGGUAAUACGUAGGGGGCGAGCGUUAUCCGGAUUCACUGGGCGUAAAGGGAGCGCAGGCGGCACGGCAAGUCCGGGGUGAAAGCCCGGGGCCCAACCCCGGGACUGCACUGGAAACUGCCGGGCUGGAGUGUCGGAGGGGCAGGCGGAAUUCCUAGUGUAGCGGUGAAAUGCGUAGAUAUUAGGAGGAACACCGGUGGCGAAGGCGGCCUGCUGGACGACGACUGACGCUGAGGCUCGAAAGCGUGGGGAGCAAACAGGAUUAGAUACCCCUGUA